UGGUGCAGUGGUUAAGCACUCGUGGCUCCUAAACACAAAGUUGGUGGUUUGAACCCACC
rnacentral:tRNA from 1 species